rnacentral:rRNA from 1 species
AAUACGAGCUGCUGUUGACGUGAACCCAAGAAGAAGCACCGGCUAACUCCGUGCCAGCAGCCGCGGUAAUACGGGGGGUGCAAGCGUUAAUCGGAAUCACUGGGCGUAAAGGGUGCGUAGGCGGUACGUUAGGUCUGUCGUGAAAUCCCCGGGCUCAACCUGGGAAUGGCGGUAGAAACCGGCGAACUAGAGUAUGGGAGAGGGUGGUGGAAUUCCAGGUGUAGCGGUGAAAUGACGUAGAGAUCUGGAGGAACAUCAGUGGCGAAGGCGGCACCUGGCCCAAUACUGUACGCUGAGGCACGAAAGCGUGGGGAGC